UACGAAGGGUGCAAACGUUGCUCGGAAUCAUUGGGCGUAAAGCGCACGUAGGCGGCUUGCCAAGUCGGACGUGAAAUCCCUCAGCUCAACUGAGGACGUGCAUCCGAAACUGGCGAGCUUGAGUACUGAAGAGGAUCGCGGAAUUCCCGGUGUAGAGGUGAAAUUCGUAGAUAUCGGGAGGAACACCGGCGGCGAAGGCGGCUCUCUGGACCGAUGCUGACGCUGAGACGCGAAAGCGUGGGGAGCAAACAGG
rnacentral:rRNA from 1 species